GACGAACGCUGGCGGCGUGCUUAACACAUGCAAGUCGAGCGGAAAGGCCACUUCGGUGGUACUCGAGCGGCGAACGGGUGAGUAACACGUGAGUAAUCUGCCCCUGGCUUUGGGAUAGCCACCGGAAACGGUGAUUAAUACCGGAUACGACAACUUCUCGAAUGGGAUGGUGGUGGAAAGUUUUUUCGGCCAGGGAUGUGCUCGCGGCCUAUCAGCUUGUUGGUGCGGUAAUGGCUCGCCAUGGCUUCGACGGGUAGCCGGCCUGAGAGGGUGACGGGUCACACUAGGACUGAGACACUGCCCAGACUCCUACGGGAGGCAGCAGUGGGGAAUAUUGGACAAUGAGCGGAAGACUGAUCCAGCAACGCCGCGUGAGGGAUGACGGCCUUCGGGUUGUAAACCUCUUUCAGCAGGGACGAAGCGCGAGUGACGGUACCUGCAGAAGAAGCACCGGCCAACUACGUGCCAGCCGCCGCAGUAA
rnacentral:rRNA from 1 species